rnacentral:rRNA from 1 species
GAACGCUAUCGGUAUGCUUAACACAUGCAAGUCGGACGAAUUAAUUAGGGCUUGCCCUAAUUAAUUAGUGGCAGACGGGUGAGUAACACGUGGGAAUCUACCCAUCAGUACGGAAUAACUUUUAGAAAUAAAAGCUAAUACCGUAUAUUCUCUGAGGAAAGAUUUAUCGCUGAUGGAUGAGCCCACGCCAGAUUAGGUAGUUGGUGAAGUAAUGGCUCACCAAGCCAACGAUCUGUAGCUGGUCUGAGAGGAUGAUCAGCCACACUGGGACUGAGACACGGCC